UUAAAAAUAUUUUUUAUGAACUACAACAAUUAAAAUAAAAAGUGAGCAUCCCGAGACAUCGUUAGGCACUUUGAAUGCUAACGACCGCAUGAAUUUCAAGCAGCAAGCGGAAAGAGCAAAUGAUGAACUCAUAUGCUCCAGAUUCUAGACACACACACACGUACCAUUUAAGUUUGGUUGAGCUGGUGCAGCUGCAACAACUUCGGCGGGUGCAACAACAUCGGCGGCGUUCGCUGAACUGGCGCUGGCUCCUUGCAAAAACAACAAGAGCGACGCC